rnacentral:tRNA from 3 species
UGCCCGGUAGCCAAGCGGUAAGGCAGCGGUUUUUGGUACCGCCAUUGCGUAGGUUCGAAUCCUACCCGGGCAA